UCGCAGUUUGUAAACAAUAAUCAAAACAAAGCAAAAAUCCGUUACGUUUGUAUUCUUUGUGGGGUCUGUUGUCAGACACGGCUAAGACCGAUAACGGUCCAUCUCGCCCACGUUUGUAUUCUACACGGCGAUGCAAAAUAACUGUAUUGUUUAAACAUAAUUCUGGCGAAAGUAAAGCUAUCGGCAGCAGGGGAAGAAAUAUGAAUAGCUACCCGGAACAAACGGAGCAAAUCAGCAUCUACCAAGACGAAGUGGUUACCCUGCGACAGGAUGUCCCCAAGCUUUACAAAGGCUUUCUGAUGAAGGAAUGCCAAGUGGUGGCGAAUAAGUUGGCCGAUGCCAAGUUCAAUAUCCCCCGUCAGAAUUUGGAAGGCUUGAAAAAUUUGUACCGAAACCAGGUGGACUUGGAAGGUACGCGAUUGCGGGAUUCUUCUGUUUCGGCUCGGCAACUGCACAAUUACGCCCAAAUGUUGCGACAGUAUACGCAAGGUGAACAAACUACAGCUACUAAAUAGAGACGUCCACUCGCGGGUUCAGGUGCUGAAACACAGAUAAAACAUAGUUGAAGAAAUUUUUGAAGUAAUCCUCGAAUAUCUUCUGUCAGCCAAACUAAUUAAAUGAUUUAAAUAAUACAAAUUUAUGAGAAUCGAUAACUUAGUGACUUUCAACCUUUACUCAGCUGAGACCUUGGCUGAAGUAAUAUUAAACAUGUAACCGCUAUUCAAAA